UACGUAGGGGGCAAGCGUUGUCCGGAAUCAUUGGGCGUAAAGAGCGUGUAGGCGGCCCGAUAAGUCCGCCGUGAAAGUCCAGGGCUCAACCCUCGAAUGCCGGUGGAUACUGUCGGGCUAGAGUGCGGAAGAGGCGAGUGGAAUUCCUGGUGUAGCGGUGAAAUGCGCAGAUAUCAGGAGGAACACCUAUUGCGAAGGCAGCUCGCUGGGACGUAACUGACGCUGAGACGCGAAAGCAUGGGGAGCGAACAGG
rnacentral:rRNA from 1 species